UGGGGAAUAUUGGACAAUGGGCGCAAGCCUGAUCCAGCAAUGCCGCGUGAGUGAUGAAGGCCUUAGGGUUGUAAAGCUCUUUCGCACGCGACGAUGAUGACGGUAGCGUGAGAAGAAGCCCCGGCUAACUUCGUGCCAGCAGCCGCGGUAAUACGAAGGGGGCUAGCGUUGUUCGGAAUUACUGGGCGUAAAGGGCGCGUAGGCGGCCUGUUUAGUCAGAAGUGAAAGCCCCGGGCUCAACCUGGGAAUAGCUUUUGAUACUGGCAGGCUUGAGUUCCGGAGAGGAUGGUGGAAUUCCCAGUGUAGAGGUGAAAUUCGUAGAUAUUGGGAAGAACACCGGUGGCGAAGGCGGCCAUCUGGACGGACACUGACGCUGAGGCGCGAAAGCGUGGGGAGCAAACAGGAUUGAUACCCUGGUAGUCCAGCGCCGUAACGAUGAAUGCUAGACGUCGGGGUGCAUGCACUUCGGUGUCGCCGCUAACGCAUUAAGCAUUCCGCCUGGGGAGUACGGCCGCAAGGUUAAAACUCAAAUGAAUUGACGGGGUCAUAGCUGUUUCCU
rnacentral:rRNA from 1 species